UACGUAGGUGGCAAGCGUUGUCCGGAUUUACUGGGCGUAAAGAGCUCGUAGGUGGUUUGUCGCGUUGUCCGUGAAAACUCACAGCUCAACUGUGGGCGUGCGGGCGAUACGGGCAGACUGGAGUACUGCAGGGGAGACUGGAAUUCCUGGUGUAGCGGUGGAAUGCGCAGAUAUCAGGAGGAACACCGGUGGCGAAGGCGGGUCUCUGGGCAGUAACUGACGCUGAGGAGCGAAAGCGUGGGGAGCGAACAGG
rnacentral:rRNA from 1 species